rnacentral:rRNA from 1 species
UGGGCUUGACAUCCACGGAACCCUGCAGAGAUGCGGGGGUGCUACUUAUGUAGAGCCGUGAGAC